rnacentral:rRNA from 1 species
AACGAACGCUGGCGGCAGGCUUAACACAUGCAAGUCGAACGGGUGUAGCAAUACAUCAGUGGCAGACGGGUGAGUAACACGUGGGAACCUUCCUAGAGGUACGGAACAACGCAGGGAAACUUGCGCUAAUACCGUAUACGCUCUUGCGAGGAAAGAUUUAUCGCCUUUAGACGGGCCCGCGUCGGAUUAGCUAGUUGGUAAGGUAACGGCUUACCAAGGCGACGAUCCGUAGCUGAUCUGAGAGGAUGAUCAGCCACACUGGGACUGAGACAGGCCCAGACUCCUACGGGAGGCAGCA